CAACCCUCGAGCCCCCCUUGGGGGGCCCGGCGUUGGGGACCGGCACUAACACCGCCGGCCCCGAAAUGGAGUGGCGGCCCGUCCGCGGCGACCUCUGCGUAGUAACUCAACCUCGCAUCGGGACCCGGGCGCGGCCACGCCGUAAAACACCCAACUUUCUGAA
rnacentral:misc_RNA from 2 species